CCGCUACAUGUGGAAUCCGGUCGUUGCUUGUCGGUUGUCGGUCGUUUAAAAUUUAGUGAUGUUGACACUGUUGAUGUUCAUGAAUCAGAAAUAAAUUUAUUAUUAAUUGAUUAAUGUUUUCGUGCUGGUGUGUAUAGUGCUUACUAUACCUUAUUCAGUAACAUAUUUAAAUAUAACAAAUACCAGCUCAACCAGUGAUUUGUGUCUUCAGUGUCCAGUCCACUUCAGGCCUUCAUGUUUACCUUCACGUUUCCCACAACCCUACAUUGCUGGAUUUUCUUAUUAAACUUUGAACUAGUGAUUCAAAAUACGAAUUAUAUCUUAAUUGAUCAGUUAGCAACUAAGUUCUGAUUAAACACUUUUGCAAUUCACAUUAAUAUUCAGAGUUAAAUGAAUCAACAAAUGCCCUCCAAUUCUCAUCUUCCAACUGACAUUGUCGCUGGAUUGAGACUAACCAUGAUAAAAACCGGUGUUUUCUAUUGUGAAAGCACUGUUCGACACAUGAGAUGAGAAUAGUGUUGCACAGUAAUAAAACUAAUUUCGCAAAUGCAUAAGAGAAUUUUGACAAUACAUAAGAAGAUGGACACUGGACUGAGACCGGGAAAAACAGGAAGCAUCACAGAAAUUUGACAACACCAAGCAACAAGCCAUUUGUAAAUUUCAAAGGCCAUCAAUAUGGAGUGGACCAAAUAGAAAGCUGGAGCAUCUACCACCUCCUAUGCUCUGACCUCUGCUACUCCAGACGCCAGAGCAAGGGUGAUGAAGGAAGCUUCAUGACCAAAAUGACAUCUGAGCAAGAAGCAACCUCUAGUAGAGGAGGAGCCUGCCUGCUUCCUUGUUAAAAAGGCGGCAAACCAACAAGCCGGACAGCAGCCAGAAUCCUACCCAAAGGCUUUCAAGAUAUUGAUGAUGUGAUAAAACGUGGGACAGAUGAGUUGGUCCGAACUACCCAGCUCUACAUGGAUAGAAAACCUACAACUAGUAUUUCAACUCGGCAUCAACUAGUUGCUCUAAUCUCGUAUACUUCUAAGUGGAUACUUAUCUUCUGAUAUUUCAAUAAAAAGGUCAGGUGCAUUUGAGUGUAGAAAAACUUGGAGAAGAAAGGGCUGUUUUAUUUCUGCUGUUGUCUUUGAUCACGUAUGCAUGUCUUCACUACAACUCGUCAGUCAUGGAAAGUGCUAUUCCACUAGAGGAGACUGCAGUCUGUUUCACAUAGCAUGAAAUGUUCAGGGAUACCACCUCUAGCCUAUCAACAUCAUCGUCAUCAUCAACAUCAUCGUCAUCACCAACAUCAUCGUCAUCAUACGACUUUUACAGUGCUGUAAACGGUGCCUAGUACAAAGGAAGAGUGGGAGUUGGUGCAACGCAAAUUUGAAGUGCAGUGGAACUUUCCCAAUUGCAUAGGAGCAAUUGAUGGGAAACAUGUCCAAAUUAAGUGCCCUGCUGAGAGCGGUUCGAUUUACUACAAUUACAAGGGUACAUUCAGCAUCAUACUGUUCGCAUUAGUUGAUGCCGAAUACAAUUUCUUAUACAUAGAUGUCGGUGCUAAUGGAAAGUCAAAUGAUGGUGCAGUUUUUCAAGCAUCAACAUUGAACAUUGCAAUGGAACGUAACACCCUUAAUUUACCACAGAAUGCGGUUGUUGUUGCAGAUGAUGCAUUUCCUCUAAGAAAGGACAUACUGAAACCUUUCAGCAAACGUAACUUAACAAUUUCAGAAAGUAUAUUCAAUUAUCGACUUUCUAGAGCUCGUAGAGUUUCGGAAAAUGCUUUCGGCAUUUUAGUUGCUAGAUUUAGAGUAUUCGACGGCCUAUUGCAUUGAUUCCUCAAACUGUAGAUUUGGUUGUCAAAACUUGUUGUGCACUUCACAACUGGCUACGCAAAUCAUCAGGGAAAUAUUACCUUCAUCCUUCAUCUGUAGAUGUGGAAGACAUGACAACAUGCACAAUCAUACCAGGCACAUGGCGCACCACUCUCAAUACAUCAUGUCUGUUGAGGACAUCGAAACUGACUUCGACAAAUGCUUACAAACAAGAGCUCAAAAAGUUUAGAGAGCAGUAUGAAAAUUUCUUCUGUUCAAAACAAGGGUCACUACCAUGGCAAUGGAAGUGGAUUGGUACUGAUCAACCAUCGAACAGCCUUUAACUUUGUACAAAUGUAAUAUGUUAGCCUUUCCUGUAUGUUGUAUGCUGAAGGAACUGAGUAUGUUAAAAUACUAUUACUGCAAUAUUUGUAUGUAAAUAUGUAACUUAUAGUAUAUAAAAGCAUUUUAUUAAUAAAUUAUGUGUAGACAUAAA
rnacentral:misc_RNA from 1 species